rnacentral:lncRNA from 1 species
GCUUGAUCUCUAGAAUUGAACCAGAAUGAUAUUUUUUUUGGAUUUUAUGACUCUUCUUUCCUGAAUUUUACAAGUGAAGCAUAUUUUCAGUUUUUGAUUUAUUAUAUUAUUAUGCCAAGUAGUACCUGGUGUUUUUUAUUAUGUGAUUGAAAAAAGGAUUGUAUAUAAAAUAUUAAUUAUUACAUACAUACCACAAAUAUGAAAUAUGUAGGGGUACCGAAACCACCGAAUGUGAUCCCUACACAAAAAUGCAGGUGAUUAAAUAAGGUUUGUUCCAUUCUAAGUCAUAUGCAGAACGAAAAAACAAUCCAGCAACCAUAAAAAAUAAUAUUACAACUUAGGUUUACCGUUUGAAUCUUUACCUUGCAAUCAUGAACAAAAUAUAAAAAAGAUAUUUACGACGAAAAAC